rnacentral:rRNA from 1 species
AGAGCGAGCGCUGGCGGCAGGCUUAACACAUGCAAGUCGAGCGGAUGUAGCAAUACAUCAGCGGCAGACGGGUGAGUAACACGUGGGAACGUACCUUUUGGUUCGGAACAACACAGGGAAACUUGUGCUAAUACCGGAUAAGCCCUUACGGGGAAAGAUUUAUCGCCGAAAGAUCGGCCCGCGUCUGAUUAGCUAGUUGGUGAGGUAAUGGCUCACCAAGGCGACGAUCAGUAGCUGGUCUGAGAGGAUGAUCAGCCACAUUGGGACUGAGACACGGCCCAAACUCCUACGGGAGGCAGCAGUGGGGAAUAUUGGACAAUGGGCGCAAGCCUGAUCCAGCCAUGCCGCGUGAGUGAUGAAGGCCCUAGGGUUGUAAAGCUCUUUUGUGCGGGAAGAUAAUGACGGUACGCAAGAAUAAGCCCCGGCUAACUUCGCGCCAGCAGCCGC